rnacentral:lncRNA from 1 species
CCCAGAUGAAAACACAGAAUGCCUUGUCCCUUUCUAUCUUUCUAACAGAAUCCCACCCAGUUAGUGGGGUUACCACCAGCCUGUCUCCUCCUAAAAGGCCUCAGGGACCUUCCACAGCCUGGAUCUCACCCCCUCACCCCCUAUAGCCCCACCCCCACCCCGCAGAGGGCAGCCGACACAACAGGAUCAGCUACAAACCCAUUGGGAAUUUUGCACAGAAGCCUACUCCAAAAAUCCCAGCUCAUUCCCUCAAACAGACUCUCCCUCUAGGGUUUCAAAGCGCCUACUCAAGGGCCAGGAUGAAUCAACCUGACUUGGCAAAUGAAUAACAAGUGUGUCUCCCCAGAGUCACUUGAGCACGAAACAGCCAAAAAGUCCUGGGUGUCUGUUUCUCAACCUUUUCACCAAAUUCCAGACUGGUUCAUACAAUGUGGACCUAAGCUCUGUGAUUAACCAACAACACGGCUGGAAGCCACACAAGGUACAAGAAAUGCUCCCAGCCAGCACGAAGCUUUCAGUGACAUUUGCGGAUGAGACGUGAGGGGGCCACAAAGAUUGGGGCACUGCCUGACUUCCGGAAGGAAGGGCAAGAUUGCAGAGUCCCAAAAGAGAUCCCAGAUCGCCAAGUUCAUGGAAACAGACACCCUACUGAGGUGGCUUUCAGGCUCUGCUCAUGUCCCUACAUCUGUGACGCUUUCCUGGUGAGACUGAGGAUGUGGAAAGUAGAGCUCGUUCUAAGGAUGGCACAGAGCAGGAUCACUCAGGAUGAGAGACCAAGAUGCCAACCACAGGCCAGACCAUAUAUAAAGAUAGAACUUGAAUCCACAACCCGUGGCAACCAGCCCCAGAUGGCCCAGACUUCAUCAUCCAGCAGCUUCCCUAGUCAUUGUUCCUGCUUCCAGUUUAGGACAAAUCGGAGAAAGCCAAAUGUGGUUCCUUAACCAAUCACAGAGGAUGUCCCACUUCUGGUGAGCCACUCUCAGCUUCUCAGGCCCCCCAGUUUGACUAGGCAUGUCUGAGUCUCCCCUGUGGCCCACUGUAAAGCGUCACCACCCUGCUGCCUGCCUUUGGGUCUCUGCCAAAUACAAAUAACAGGGGCUUACUUGCUAUCAGAGACUCUGGAUAGAUAGCAUUGGCUUGUUCUCAUUUGGGUGGCUUUCACUCAUGUUGAUGCUGAACACCCCCCAGUGUGAGGUCUCAC